AACAAAUUCAUGGCGGAAGGCAUCUGACCAAGAACCAUCUCCUUUUGUCAUGUCCCCAAGUCUGCGUUUCAGCUUCUCCUAGGAGAUCUUCUUUGGUUCUUCGUUUCUCUUCUCGGAAACCCUUCCCAACCCUACAAUCUUCUUCAGAUACCCUCUUCCAUGGACAAAGGAUCGUC